UCAUCUCUCAAAGGACGCCCCAGCCCCGAGAGGAGCCACCGCCGCCGCCGCCGGGGAACGAGAGGAGCCGCCGCCUCCAGGUCACCACUGCCCUCGCCCUCGCAUCCAUACCUUCGCCGUCGCCCUCGCGCUCGCGGAUCCCUGAAAUGCCGCCGAUCCGAGACGAGCCGCCGCCGCCGAGGAACGAGACGAGCUGCCGGCGCCGAGGAACGAGACGAGCUAGGGUUCCAUACGCCGCCGCCGGUAUCUCGCCCCCUCACCAUGUAUGCAUCUCUCCUUUCCAUCCCCAUCUGAGACCGAAACCUACUCACGCCUCUCCUUGUUCGCCCACGCCAUUGCGGUCCCAACCACGAACGCCGACGCCGGCUGUAGCCGUCACGCCGCCAGCCAUCCAUGCCUCGUAGCCGUCGCAGCCGGUGCUUCCCCACCGAACGAGCGCCAAGGAGAAACACCGCUGUCUUUCUACAUGGUGGCCUCUCCCCUCGAUCCCCUCCAUCGCCUCCGCCGCCGCCGAGGUACGAGGUCGCCUCCAUCUUGUUCCUUCCCUGGCCACGCCCCUCCCAAUUUCUUCCCCUCAUCCAGCUAGGGUUCUCACCCGCCGCCGCUUCCCUGCUGCUACCCGCCACCGGAUGCCCUCCACGGACACCACCACCAUGAUGGCGGAAUGAAGAGCAAGAGGGGUCAUCGAGGAUGGGUGCCGUCGUGAGGUUGCUGGUGCCCGUGUGCGGUGAUGGCAUUGUGGCGGAAGAAGGUCUUCUUCCUGGGGAGCCGCUACCAGCCUCCGUCUCCACCCGCGGCCACACUAAAAAGACAGAUCUCAAUACUUGCUUGCUAAUGUGCAUGUGUGGAUGUUGCUGGUUGCUGCUGCUGUGCACGUCUGCUUGGUGUGCCCCUGCUGUUUUGUGUUCUCACCACCACAUCCACGACAAAUAAAAUUUCUUAGUUUUCUUAGAAUGGUUCAGGUUCGAUAUGCUAGGGCUGAAGUACGCUCCUGAGUUAAAGAAAGACCUCGAGAGACUCUGUAGUGUGUAUGCAGGAACUAAAGACAUGUAUUAGAGAAUGAAGCAUCAAUCCUCUUCUUGCUUAUUGUUUGUCAAAUGCUAUAUUAAAGCACUGUAUCAAUUCCAUUGUUAUUUACACGAAGGGACGGAUUAGGACCUGUGGGAUCAUGGCUCUUUCAGCUUGAACAGUAUUUGUGAUGUAUCCUUCACUUACCGUGCCACGGGGUUAUCACGGAUAUUGGUGGAGGACUUGGUGGACUAGCGCAAAAUGGAAAUCUAGAAAGAAGUGAAACUAAUCAGCUAUGGUUCUCCUGGAGUAUUUGUGCAACCAGCAGGCCGCCCAUGAGAAAUAUGAUGUUCUUUAUGCAUUUAAAAAACUACUAAAGGGAAAGUUGUGAAUGUUGUAUUGCAGAGCGUAUGCGUCAGAGGCCAGUCGGCAGAGGUGCAUGCAGGUUUGUGCUUGAGGGUGCACGCGAGCCGGCGGCUACAGGCAGAGGGUGCGGCCUGUGUGUGCGUGUUGUGGUCGCCUGAUUUGAUUGUAAAUCGUGUAGAGCAAAGGCGGCUUCUGUGGCGCCGGAGCAACAAUUUCAGUGAGCACAUGGACUUGAUGCAGGGAGGGUCGUCGAAGAGAAGGACGGCGGCCCGGCCUACACAUGAUGGAACACACAUUGCCGACGAUGCGGUGCCAGGCCUGGAGAAGAGAUCCCGAGUUUCCAUUCUUCUGCAACGACAGGGAGUAUGUUAUCGGCCGCGGGGUCUAGGCAUCUAGAAAGACGUACUACUGCGCUAAUAAGGUGUUUGAUGAAAUGCCCUCCGUCCGGAAAUACUUGUCAUCAAAAUGAAUAAAAGGAGAUCACAAUGUUGGACACGACCACCUAAGAACGAAAUAUUUUUAGUUGGAAUACUAUUUUAAUGAUCAAUCACAAUGUUGGACGCGACCACCUACUUAUUCCCGAGACUUUAAGUCUUUGGUGGCUUAAGCACAAUAUGCCCGGCAUAUGUUCUACAUCUGCGGCAUGUAAUGACCCUACUGGCAUUUCAAGAGGUCUGUAAAUACAACACUCUUCCAAAGUAUUUCCAAGUAAGUGUUCACCUCGUGAGAUUUAUUAAAUGUUUUAGAUAUCUCGCUUGUGAAUGCUCAUCGGUAGCUAAUAUCCUGAGUAUUUUGAUAACGGGUUUAGAUCUGGACAGUUAUUGAGCCUGCAUUGAUGAAAUCGUUGACAAAGAAGGAACUGAAAUGAGGUUAUUGAGGCUGCAUUUAAGAAUCUUGGUUGAUGAGCUGAUAUCUGACCAAAAGCUCAAGAACUAGAAGCAAGCCUGACAUCCUUUUUCUGUAAUCGGUAUAUUCUCGGUAGCAAGCCUGUCAUCCUUUUGUAUCCACAUGAGGCUUAGGGGCCGUUUGGAUUAGCACCAACGCCGACCCUAUCAAUUUUUAGGUGGUCCCCUGCAAUUUGGACCCUGUUUGGACCAUCGCCAAAAUAUUGGCUCGCCCUGGCUCGCCCCGAAGGCUCAGUGUUACUUCUGCCAACUCGUGGGCGCAUCGAGGGCGCCGAAAUCGGUCGCCAAAAAAGUUGAUUAUUGAAGGUUGUUUCUGAAGUUGUGAUUGACUGGAACCAAAGGAAAGUUGGGGACUUUUUUGGUGUGAAUUGCUUGGAUUAAGUGGGAGUGAAGAUGUUCUUUCUGUCUAUAUCUGGUUCUAUUAUUGGCAAAUUUGUGCCUUCGAGAUUGCUGCGGGUGUUUGUGUUCUCGAGCUGAAAAUUUAGAUUAUUACCAUGUUUGGUCUCCUGAAUAUAAAUCAUGAUUCUUUUCAUCUCAAUUGCAGACCAACAGACCUUUCCGUCCUCAUAUUCCCCGGAUUCGUUUUCUGCGAUCGAGCGCCCGAGCGGUUGCAUCUCGACGGCAGUUCCCUUUACAACCGAGUUAGCUUUAUACUAUGAGCAGUGAGCAAGUCAUGUAUAAAGCAAAAACAAAAUAUUGGUCUGCUAUCAAAUGGUACAUUUAUUUGAACUCUAAAGGCAGGUUCAGGGUCUCAUGAAGAGGGCAUGUGUUUGUAUUAGAUCAGAAGGUUUUGCAGUUGAAAAGCUUAUAGGUUUGAGCACCCCAAACAACGGGGUGGGCCCUUUGACCUGUGGUGGGUUCUGCUGGUACCAAGAGAAGGAGGUUCCUUUUAACCUGCAGGAGCUCUGCCAAUGGCAGCGUGCUUUCCUUGACAAUGAUGUGGUACUGCACGUACGCAACAUGCAGCGAGUGAAAUCGGCGUAAGAGGGCAUCUUGCAAGCAGCACCAAAUCCUAUAUUAUGGGACCGAGUGAGUAUCUCAAAGAAGAAAUAAUUUUUUUGAUGUAGGAAUAUGUGUAGGCUGAUUAUGCUUUGAUGUAUAGAUCGCAGUAGCACUUAGGUAAAAUAUAAGUUCUUAGCUAGUUCAAUAGUACUUUUGUCGAACAAAGCUCAAUUGACAUUACGCUAAAACCUUGAGAAUACCUGAGGGGACAAGGCAAGUGUUGUUUGUAAUGACUUGUGUUAUGAUAUUGCAAAAUAGAUUAGACGGAAAAGUACAUAGCAUUGCCAUGGAAUAUUUAAUACUUUUA